AAAUAUAGAUAUAUAUUUAUAUAAAUUGAAAGCUGAUGAACACAACUCAAACACAUCCUAUAUUAAUUAUUGUUUGUAAGCUUUAACUUCAAUUAACAUAAAUAGGCGCCUCUUUUACGUUGUAGGGUUGGUGGAUUAUAUUCAAUGCCCCAGCAUUUUCAGAGGUCACGCCCCACCUUCCAUUUUUUGAUCUUCAAUCUCUCUCUCUCUCUCUCUCAUAAAAAAUAAUAAAAAAAAAAGAUUCUCUUCUCAUCAAAGUAGCUCCCAAAGAAGACAUGGCAUCCUAUUCAGUAGUAAUACGUACAAGCAUUAAAAAACAUAGGACAUUUUCCCAAUCAAAUCCCGGCCAGAACACACACUCGAUCGAAGAUUUGUUGAGAAACUACGUACUAUUACUAGUACUACUCGGGAGGUUAGCUAUAUCUAUAUAUAUAUGUGGGAUAUUGGUACGGUUCAAUCAGAAACUAGUUCUUUAUUCUAUGUAGAGAUCUUUUGUUUGAUUGAGCCGUGCCAAUAUCACAUAUAAUAUAAUUAAACUACUCUAAAUAAAUUUAUUUAUAUAUAAAUAUAUUCCUAGCUUAUAGCAAGUAAAGGGUCCAAAUAUAUAUAUGUAAGAUUUUUUUUGUUUUCUUUUAUAAUUUUUCAUUAUAACUACUAGUCUUCAAUUUAUUUAUACCGGCAGUCACAGUACUAAAUUUUCCUGGUUUGGAAACUCUUUUCAAUACAUUUGAUCGAUUUGCCAAUUCUUAUAUUAUUAUUAAACCAAUAUAUAUAGUUUGGUUUAUUAUAUCAUCGAGAACAUUUUAUUAAUUAUUUGAAUGUCUUAAAGGUAAAAACUCGAAGAAAAAAAUCAUGCUAGAAUAUUGUUUCGAUCGAGCUUGUAUAUAUCACGUCCCCGAUAUAUUAAAUAUCAAACAGUUUAAAUAGAUACUAAAUAAUAAAAAAUAUACACAAUACAAUAAAAUCUUAGCAAAAAAAAAAAAAUUAACUAAUUUUAUUUUGCAUUUUGUACAUGCAAUUACACAUAUUUAGAAAAAAAGAACUAAAAUCUUCAUUUCUAAAAUAUUAAGUCUAAAAAUAUGUGUAUUAUGAUUUUUAUUUGGAAAUGUUUAAUCUCUAAACUCUUGUCUUUAAGAUUUAUAUAAAUAAGCAUGACCAUCAUACUAAAGUCUUAAUUGUUAAAUACUAACUUCAAUUAAAAAUAUAUAUAUAUAUUAAUUAAUUAUAUAAUACAUAUGUCGUAAUUAAAAAAAUUUGUCACAAUUUUUUAAUAAUUUAUUUUGCUUAUUAUAUUAUUUCAAACAAAAAUUCGCCCCUGCUAAAAUUGAACACAAAGUCUGCCACUAUCUUAAUCCAAACAUAAUAAAAUAAGAAAAACAAACAAACAAUAAAGAUGGAACUCGCACUUGGAGCAGGCAUGGAUCGGUUCACACAUGAUUGAUCCCAUCCAUUUUACUCAACUUGGGGAUGGAAGAGCACGGGACGUGGUUCUCUCAUGUAGCAUAUAUAGUACAUAAGACAACACUUUCUUUCUUGGAAACAUCAUGUGUGGUAUCAUUUUGUAUUGAUAUUUUUGUUAUAAUUAUUAUAUUGAUGUUUAUAUAUUUUAAUAUAUUUAAUAAAUAAUUUUGUUAUUUAAAAUUUUAUUCUAGCAAAUUAUAUUUAUAUCAUCGUCAAAAAAGUACGUAUAUUUCUAUUUUAAAUAUUAAAUUUAUAUAAAAAAAAAUAAUAACUUAUGAAUAUUAUAUGGCCAAGUUAUAGUAACUACUAUUUUGUUUACUGGUACAUAUAUAGCAUAUUAUUUACUUAAUCCAAUUUCCAUCUAGUCAUCAAAUAACUUAACUACUCUUAGAAUUACUUUGUUAGAAUUGGAUUUUGUGUGGCAGAAUAUUGAUGAAGCCUUAGAGAUUAUUGAAAUGUCAAAGACCCAAAGAGAAUUGAAACGAGUCAUUAGAGGUCUGAGAAUAUAUGAUGAUGACUUUUCAAUUUCCAUGGUCAUGACAAGCAACCAAGAUCAAAUUUGUCCCCCAAACUAUGACUAGCUUUUACUUGCUAAAAAAGGAAAACCAAUAUAUAUCACUAUUGUUACUGUUUUACUUUUGCCAUGACAUGCUGUAAUAUUGUUAUUCAUCCAUUUAUUGCUUUUAAUAAUUUUAUGCGGUAAAUAGAUUUACUUUUCAUCGGUAUUUGAUAUAAGCACUACCAAAUUCUAUUAUUGAUUUCAAAGUUUUAUUUCUA